CAAAAUGUAGCUUAAUAAAAAGCUGUUCGCUUACACCGAAACGUCAUCUGUUAAACCCGGAUUAUUUUGA
rnacentral:tRNA from 1 species